GUGCUCGCUUCAGCAGCACAUAUAUUAAAAUUGGAACAAUACAAGGAAGAUUAGCAUGGCUCCUGUGCAAGGACAACAUGUAAACUCGUAAAGCAUUCCAUAUUUUU
rnacentral:snRNA from 1 species